UUAAGUCCCGUAACGAGCGCAACCCUUGUCCUAGUUACCAGCACGUUAUGGUGGGCGACUCUAGGAGACUGCCGGUGACAAAACCGGAGGAAGGUGGGGGAUGACGUCAAGUCAUCAUGGCCCUCACGGCCUGGGCUACACACGUGCUACAAUGGUCGGUACAAAGGGUUGCCAAGCCGCGAGGUGGAGCUAAUCCCAUAAAACCGAUCGUAGUCCGGAUCGCAGUCUGCAACUCGACUGCGUGAAGUCGGAAUCGCUAGUAAUCGUGAAUCAGAAUGUCACGGUGAAUACGUUCCCGGGCCUU
rnacentral:rRNA from 1 species